rnacentral:sRNA from 1 species
GUCUAGCGCAGAUUGAAGAGGCAUCCUUUUUAUUUCUUUUUUUAACAAGCGUGAUUACGAGGAACGAAGUAAUCUCUUUCAGGUGAAGAGAUUGCCACAGUUUAUAAAAAAGUAAACUUCGUAAUGACAGCAAUAAAAAGAUAUAACGUAAAGCUGGAAAUAGC